UAAUACCCGUCCGUUGGACGGCUUACGCUAACAGUGUAACAAACAAAGAUAAUGUAUAUUGAGGGUGUUCAGCAACGCUUUUCCUUUUCUUCUUUUCCAUAUCCUUUUUUGAAAAGGUUGCAACCAUCUAACUUUUUCUUUUCUUCUUUGCAAACCACUAAACCUCGUUCUCAAAACACAUUAUCCAAAAACUAUAAAAAUGACCUAUUAACUUUUAAGAGGUCAAAAACUUAAAAGGAGCUCAAAAUAAGCAAUCUCAAACACCCACAUUAAGUGGACACAAAUCUAAACAACAUUAUAAACAAAAGCACCAUUUUUAACUUAUAAAAGGAAAACGAACGUGAACAGUGUACAACCACACACAAUAUAAAAUAAAAAUGACAGAGUGGCAAAACAUGAAAUGGUGUCAUUUUAAUAAGUUUAGUAUAUUCACUAAUUACGAUCUUGAAGUCACCAAAAACCAAGAUGUGCCUUUCAUGUUUUGGCCACUCUUUGUAUUCGAAGUUUUCAAUUUGGAAACGGCUUAAUACAAACAUGUUGCCAACCAAAUUCAUGUCAUCGUAAAAGUGAGUUAAAGAUGCUGGGAUGAAUGUGGCUACUUUUUGUCUCUGAAAGAUGAAGAGAUUUUUAGUGAUUUAAGUAAGAAAUAAAUUUUUAUUUAAAAAGAAAGAAAAAUGACACUUACGGCUUGAUCGAGAAAGAUAACCAAUAAUUUGUUUUCACCAGCGAUAGACAAAACAAAGUCGACCCAAACGAAUGUAACGGUAUACCAAACUCCGUAUUGUGUGAGAGAUGAAAAAUAGUCAACAAUGGAAUGCACAUCCAUUAUCAAUUAGACCUACAACUUUAAUGUUAUAUGACAAAAAACAAAAAUUGAAUGUGUUGUUAUAAUUGUAGUAGUUGAAGAUAUUGAUUUGAAAAUUUAUAACUUAUACGAAUUCAAAAUAAGGUUAACAUAUUAUUUUAUUAUAAAAACAUAAUUUAAUCCCUUUAAGAAUAUUAUAUUUAUUGUGCCUUUGGGAUGCUAUACAUAAUUCAAAUUAAGGUCAAUUUAUUAUUGGGUAAGUUGAAAGUCGGGAGUGGUACGGUAAAAAUCAUUGUUAUUGGUCAAUUGGUGAAAGUUAAGAUUAUUUAAAUCCAAUAUCCCUAUAAUGUAUAUCAAAAUUCUCAGUCAAUGUCACAUGUUUGUGUAAUUUUAUUUUAUAAGUAGGCCUUCAAAAUUAUAGGAUAUUAUUAAUAGGUCUCUAUAACCUUACUAAAUUCUAAUAUAUUUGAUUUUACCCAACUCGUUUUGUUGGACUCGGUUUUACCCGACAUGUACUUAACCCCGGUUUUACCCGACAUGUACUUUACUAAAUUCUAAUAUAUUUGAUUUUACCCAACUCGUUUUGUUGGCACAUAAAAAAUGGAAAUAGAAAUAAUAAUAAUUGGGCUCAUAAUCUCUAACCUAACAAAAUGAGUUUGAUUUACACUUGGCCCAACCCAUUUAUUCAACCUAAAUAUAUAAGUGAGUGUGUUAUAAUAAAAACCCUAAAACCAUAGAGACACAUUCAGCAGCCGACAUCAUCUUUCAGCCCUCUGGUUUCUCUGUCCGAUCAUCGGCGACCGGUACCGGUUACGGCCGGCUACCGGCGUCCCGUGCUUGCUCGCAUGUCGCCACACAACCCCAAGCUCCGUCUUCAUCUUAACUCGCCGCACAUACGCUGCCCUGUCCAGAGAGAGAGAGAGAGAGAGAGAGAGAGAGAGAGAGAUCGGAGAACGGGAGAGAUCGGAGAUCGGAGCACAUACGCGGCGACUUUAAUUCCUUCCGACAAGUUCACCGGUAAAACAUGGUGGUGUUCUUGAUGAAAUAAUCCAAUCAUUGCAACAUCAAGUUGAGGUUUAAUUUGGCCGGUCUGACAUCAAAGGUCAAGGGUUUGAAUGUUCAUGUCUUCUCUCAACAUAAACUUUAUGAAGACUCGAGAUCUUUUGGACAAUUUGGUCCUUUGAAGGGCAGUUACUCGCAGAGAAUAGCUACAUAGUGCGAGAGGGAGAUCCGGUAGAUGAGAUGCUGUUUAUAAUGCGCGGAGACUUGCUAACUGUGACUACAAAUGGUGGAA